rnacentral:rRNA from 1 species
UACGAAGGGGACUAGCGUUGUUCGGAUUUACUGGGCGUAAAGCGCGCGUAGGCGGAUCGCUAAGUCAGGGGUGAAAUCCCAGGGCUCAACCCUGGAACUGCCUUUGAUACUGACGAUCUGGAGAUCGGGAGAGGUUGGUGGAAUUCCGAGUGUAGAGGUGAAAUUCGUAGAUAUUCGGAGGAACACCGGUGGCGAAGGCGGCGCUCUGGACCGAGACUGACGCUGAGGCGCGAAAGCGUGGGGAGCAAACAGG